rnacentral:rRNA from 1 species
CGGCGUCUAAUACUGGAUAUGAGACCUGAUCGCAUGGUCGUGUUUGUAAAGAUUUUUCGGUUUGGGAUGGGCUCGCGGCCUAUCAGCUUGUUGGUGAGGUAAUGGCUCACCAAGGCGUCGACGGGUAGCCGGCCUGAGAGGGUGACCGGCCACACUGGGACUGAGACACGGCCCAGACUCCUACGGGAGGCAGCAGUGGGGAAUAUUGCACAAUGGGCGCAAGCCUGAUGCAGCAACGCCGCGUGAGGGAUGACGGCCUUCGGGUUGUAAACCUCUUUUGGUAGGGAAGAAGCCUUCGGGUGACGGUACCUGCAGAAAAAGCGCCGGCUAACUACGUGCCAGCAGCCGCGGUAAUACGUAGGGCGCAAGCGUUAUCCGGAAUUAUUGGGCGUAAAGAGCUCGUAGGCGGUCUGUCGCGUCUGCUGUGAAAUUCCGAGGCUCAACCUCGGGCUUGCAGUGGGUACGGGCAGACUAGAGUGCGGUAGGGGAGAUUGGAAUUCCUGGUGUAGCGGUGGAAUGCGCAGAUAUCAGGAGGAACACCGAUGGCGAAGGCAGAUCUCUGGGCCGUUACUGACGCUGAGGAGCGAAAGGGUGGGGAGCAAACAGGCUUAGAUACCCUGGGUAGUCCACCCCGUAAACGUUGGGAACUAGUUGUGGGGUCCUUUCCACGGAUUCCGUGACGUAGCUAACGCAUUAAGUUCCCCGCCUGGGGAGUACGGCCGCAAGGCUAAAACUCAAAGGAAUUGACGGGGACCCGCACAAGCGGCGGAGCAUGCGGAUUAAUUCGAUGCAACGCGAAGAACCUUACCAAGGCUUGACAUACACCAGAACGGGCCAGAAAUGGUCAACUCUUUGGACACUGGUGAACAGGUGGUGCAUGGUUGUCGUCAGCUCGUGUCGUGAGAUGUUGGGUUAAGUCCCGCAACGAGCGCAACCCUCGUUCUAUGUUGCCAGCACGUUAUGGUGGGAACUCAUGGGAUACUGCCGGGGUCAACUCGGAGGAAGGUGGGGAUGACGUCAAAUCAUCAUGCCCCUUAUGUCUUGGGCUUCACGCAUGCUACAAUGGCCGGUACAAUGGGCUGCGAUACCGCGAGGUGGAGCGAAUCCCAAAAAGCCGGUCCCAGUUCGGAUUGAGGUCUGCAACUCGACCUCAUGAAGUCGGAGUCGCUAGUAAUCGCAGAUCAGCAACGCUGC